rnacentral:lncRNA from 1 species
CUUGGGGUUAUUUAUUUGGGGAGCGCGCUCACCGCGGAGGCUGCCAGCGGCGGUGGUGGCGGCGGUGGCUGCCGCAGACGGUGGUUAAAAAAGGCGGCGGCGGCGGCAGCAGCGAGUGAUGGGAGCGCCGUGGCUCCCGGGCGCAGGCGGGAGCUGCCGAGCUUUCCGGGCACGGCGGGAGUGCUGAAGAGAAAGGGAAGCAUCCGGGGGCCUGAAGCCGGCUCCAGAGGCGCGGGUCGGGUUUUUGUUUGGCUGCGCUCAGCGCCAGGCAGCCCGAGCGAACAACUCCAGUUACAACAACAACCCACCUUCCCGCAGCCGAGCGAGACUAGGGCUGCUGCGUCCGUCCUAUUGUUUAGACACUUGCCAGGAGCUCGGGAGCCAGCAGAGCCACCGAGUCCCCGCUGCCUGUCGCCGCUUUCCCUCUCCGCCACUUCCCUCCCUGAAGAAGGAGGCGCGGAAAGCAGUCAGGAGAGGGGAAGGGGCUGGAAGGAGACUGGCUGCUCGGGACUGCGGCCGCCGAGUCAGGUGCAGCACCAGGAGCCGGGCGGCGUCGCGACGUCGGCGGGAAGACUGCCACCGUGGCCGUGGGGGACGGGAUUCAAAGCCUGGGAAAAGUUCCUGCACUUUGAGAAGGAGGGCCCACUUGCGGGCGGCUGUCGGGGGCGGCCAAGGGGCUGCGUCCGCCUAGGAGCCUGCUCUGGUUUCGUCCACCUUUGCCAUCAGGUGUCUGCUGCGGAGCUGCGGCGCAUCCGGGAGACGCGAGGGGCUGACACACGCGCGCACACAGGACUGCCAUUCAGUCGCCUCCUGGGCUCUCCUCGGAGUAGCGGAUCCCACCGGUCCACUGCCACCUCGUCAUCCCCCAGGACUCCCCGGCAGGACCCAAGACGCGGACACCUCCACCUUGGCCUUUGCACUCCUGGUCUGCCUACCAGCCAGCCCCGACUCAGUGUUCGGAGGAGCUCUGGUCCUCAACUUGGCCUCUUGGAUUUCCUCUGUCGGGGUGGUGACUAG